rnacentral:rRNA from 1 species
CAGUCGCCGCGGGAAUACAGAGGGUGCGAGCGUUAAUCGGAUUUACUGGGCGUAAAGCGUGCGUAGGCGGCUUCUUAAGUCGGAUGUGAAAUCCCUGAGCUUAACUUAGGAAUUGCAUUCGAUACUGGGAAGCUAGAGUAUGGGAGAGGAUGGUAGAAUUCCAGGUGUAGCGGUGAAAUGCGUAGAGAUCUGGAGGAAUACCGAUGGCGAAGGCAGCCAUCUGGCCUAAUACUGACGCUGAGGUACGAAAGCAUGGGGAGCAAACAGGAUUAGAGACCCCUGUAGUCCCUGUCUCUUAUAC